rnacentral:lncRNA from 1 species
AGAAGAAAUAGAAGAAAGAUCUACCAAUGUCGAAGCCCUGCAACCAAUGAAACUCUUCCCAACAAAGGCAGUAUGGAAGCAAGAAAUAUUCAGAAGUAAAAGAAACCGGUGGAGAUGCAGACCAAUGCAGAAAAAUGGAAAGAUCUACCAAUGUCGAAGUCCUGCAACCAAUGAAACUCUUCCCAACAAAGGCAAUAGAUGUAGACCGGCGGAAAAGAUGAAGAGAACUCGCUGGAGGACUAGAUGAGGAGAACUCGUCGGUGGAAGAGAUGAAGAGAAAUCGUCCAGAUUUGGAGAGAAAUUUGGGAGAACUCGUUGGUUUUGGGGUAGAAAUUUUU